rnacentral:rRNA from 1 species
UGGGGAAUUUUGGACAAUGGGCGAAAGCCUGAUCCAGCAAUGCCGCGUGUGUGAAGAAGGCCUUCGGGUUGUAAAGCACUUUUGUCCGGAAAGAAAUCCUUGGCUCUAAUACAGUCGGGGGAUGACGGUACCGGAAGAAUAAGCACCGGCUAACUACGUGCCAGCAGCCGCGGUAAUACGUAGGGUGCAAGCGUUAAUCGGAAUUACUGGGCGUAAAGCGUGCGCAGGCGGUUUGCUAAGACCGAUGUGAAAUCCCCGGGCUCAACCUGGGAACUGCAUUGGUGACUGGCAGGCUAGAGUAUGGCAGAGGGGGGUAGAAUUCCACGUGUAGCAGUGAAAUGCGUAGAGAUGUGGAGGAAUACCGAUGGCGAAGGCAGCCCCCUGGGCCAAUACUGACGCUCAUGCACGAAAGCGUGGGGAGCAAACAGGAUUAGAUACCCUGGUAGUCCACGCCCUAAACGAUGUCAACUAGUUGUUGGGGGAUUCAUUUCCUUAGUAACGUAGCUAACGCGUGAAGUUGACCGCCUGGGGAGUACGGUCGCAAGAUUAAAAC